rnacentral:rRNA from 1 species
GACGUAGGGCGCGAGCGUUGUCCGGAUUUAUUGGGCGUAAAGAGCUCGUAGGCGGCUCGUUGCGUCGGCUGUGAAAACCCGCAGCUCAACUGUGGGCUUGCAGCCGAUACGGGCGGGCUGGGAUUCGGUAGGGGAGACUGGAAUUCCUGGUGUAGCGGUGGAAUGCGCAGAUAUCAGGAGGAACACCUAUAGCGAAGGCAGCUUGCUGGGACGUUACUGACGCUAAGGCGCGAAAGCGUGGGGAGCGAACAGG